rnacentral:rRNA from 1 species
GACGAACGCUGGCGGCGUGCUUAACACAUGCAAGUCGAACGGUGAAGGGACCAGCUUGCUGGUUCUGGCUGAGUGGCGAACGGGUGAGUAACACGUGAGUAACCUGCCCCCUUCUUCUGGAUAACCGCAUGAAAGUGUGGCUAAUACGGGAUAUUCUGGGUCUGUCGCAUGGCGGGCCCGGGAAAGAUAUUGCUUCGGUGGGGGAUGGGCUCGCGGCCUAUCAGCUUGUUGGUGGGGUGAUGGCCUACCAAGGCGGUGACGGGUAGCCGGCCUGAGAGGGUGGACGGUCACACUGGGACUGAGACACGGCCCAGACUCGUACGCGGGGCAGCAGUGGGGAACACUGCACACGGGGCGCAAGCCUGAUGCAGCGACGCCGGGGGAGGGAUGGAGGCCUUCGGGUUGUAAUCCUCUUUCGCCAGUGAAGCAGGCCUGCUCCUUGUGGGUGGGUUGACGGUAGCUGGACAAGAAGCGCCGGCUAACUACGUG